GUUCGUGUGGCGCUGCCUCUGAGGAGCCUCUGGCUGCUGCUGUCCUGCCCCAGCGAGGGCUGCGCUGGCCAGACAGCCGGGAAUGCCCCUCCGGCUGCAGGAAUCCCAGCCCUGCUGCAGGCUGACAUUUCCAGAUCACUCAUCCCAAUUUACCAAAAGGGAAUGGGAGCUGGCCUUGGAAAGCCCAACACCCUUGUAAAGGAAGCUGAGCGAGCGGCUCUGUGCUGUCAGAAGGCCAAAGUGAGGCAUUCCAGCUCCUGGCAGCUGCUCCUGCAGCCAGCAGUGCAAGCUGAGCUCCAACAGUGAGUGAGAGGGUUUGGACAGACUUGGUUCAAGACAUUUUAACACCAAGAUUGAGGGAGUCAUUCCCCAAGUGUUCCUGCAUGCUCCCCCUUUCUGGGAAAAUGUGUUUCACGCUCCUACAGGCAGUGGUCAGCCAGAAUCUUGGCCUGGUGGGAAAGCCUCCAUCAAUCCCUAUUUCCUGUUCUGGAGGAGGGUCCCAAGCCUCCAAAGGAAUCCCUGCAAUGUUCCUGUAGCAGGGCUGUGUGUGCCCUCCAGCCAGUCCAUGCUGCCUGUAAGUAAAACAUAAAUCCUCUGGUACCAGGAAAUGCAGCUGCUUUUUUUUUUUGGGGGGGGGAAGCUCCUGGUGGCUGACUCUGGAUACUGUCCCUGUCCCUGCUUCUCCCUCACCCCACAGAGCCCCUUGUCCUGGCCUGGAGGACAGCUGAGAUCCAAGGAGAGCUGCCUCUGUGGAAAAGUAGAACCACGGACAGAUAUUCCCAAAAGGCAACUCAAACCCGUUGGUAUUUGUUAGAACAUUUUGUCAAAACCAAACACUCAAGGGACAGUGGAAUUGGAGACAGUUUAAAAAGGAAUAGCAAAUAUGGGCAAUGCAAAAUAUGUAUUUAAGAUACUCAAAAUUCUGGGCAUGGACCAAUAUCCAUAUUUUGAAAUUACCUUUCUUACUUAAAAGACAUAAAGACCAAAAUAAAACAUUUAGACUUACAUUUAGUCUCUCUCUGAAAAGCAAUAGUGCUUUAGUCCCAGUUCAGGACAAUAGGAUUUUGAACUCUGGAACCUUCCUGCCAGUCCAUUUCUGCUGCCCACUGCAUAGAAAAGUAGCAAAAACAUCCCAUUAAAGGAGUGGAUUCUUGUCUGUUUAACACACAAAGUGCUUCAGCAACCUCAAAGAAUCACUUUUUUUUUUUAACAAUUGAAUUUAUUAAUGCCUUAUAUGACUAUACAGCAGAGCAGUUUGUCAGAUACACAGUACAAGUCCCUAUGCAGUCUUUUUUUCAAAGAAACCUUCGGGAUCGAAUCCUGUUCUGUCAGGUGGUGCCAGCAGUGAGCACCUCUGCCUGUGUUGUAACCACUCAUGUUUGCCUUCCUUCCACGUCGAUUGUAUCCCAAAUAAAACCAGUUGUGUGGCAGAAUGAAUUAAUCAACAGUGAUGUGAGAAAUAUCUUCAAGCAAUAGUGUCUGUCAGGAAAACACUUACCUACGGUUUGUAUGUUUCUAUGGUCUGGCUUCCUGUAUAAAAUGCUCACAAGUAAUGCUGUAUUUUACUGUAAACUGAAAUAUUAAUGCAUGAAUUUCUAUUUUUCAAUGGUCAAGGUGCCAUUCAUUUAAAAAUCUGCAUCUCAAAUAAAUUUGUACACAAGUUUUCAAUGUCCAGCUCUUCAAUCAGAACCAACACGUUGACCUGGAAAGAUUAUUGGGACUUAUUUCCUUCAAACUUGAAAAUGGCAUCAACCAUUCCUGUCUCAGAACUCCAAGAACCCGACACCCUCUGGAGCACCCUGGGACACUGGAGGUGGCCCUGAGCAGCUCCUUCAGGCUGCAGAGGAAGAAAAGGGACCGUGACAAACCCGCCCUGCACCGCGCUCUACUCGGACACUACUGCCACCACCAUGGACAAUGGAUAUUUAUCACAAUGAACUUCAAAUAAACACAAAUAUGUUAAACUUGC